GGCAGGAAAGUGUACGCGCGGCUAGGCGAGCGAGCGAGCGAGCGAUUCCGCAUCGCGCGGCGGACGCGAAUUUCACACAAAACACAAGCCGUACACAGAAACGUAGAUACAGUGGCCUAGACAAGUAGGUCGCGGCGCAGUUCUCGCGGUGCGAGCUCGCGUGCGCGAGACCGCGACGCUCGUACUUGUGUCCGUGUGCGCGGCUAGACGAGCGGACGCGGAGCCGAAGCGUGUCGGUGCGCGUGUGAUCGCGCUCGCACACCACCGCACGCGGACAGGGGAGGAUAACGUAGGUUUUUCAUUCCUAAUGACUAGAAGAAAUUACCAAGAGAGAGAGAGAGAGAGGACGACCUUGAAGGGCAAGUUGCUCGUCGGACAUCGAAAGCCGCCAGUUCAAACACCCAGGUACAGAUCCCGCAGCGGAACGUUGCGCAAGAUGGUGUAACGGAGAAAACGAUAUCGUCGGUGUUAUCAGCGGAGUUUUCAAAGCAAGCACGAUAGUCGACCCGUCGUGUCUGUCACCGUGGAUAGUCACGGCACACCUAUCGACGCCCGACGUGAAAUAUGGGCGAAAGUAUUUUCUCUCGAGGCGGAAUCGCGUAAUAUCACUGGCGCAACGUCGUUCCUCGGCAACAAGAGCGCGAGAUAAUUGGAGUAUCCAGUCGUCCCGGUGAUUCUGCUGAUUCGGCUGUUUCUCGGCGAUCGUAACGUUUACGUAACCGAGGGAUCACUCUCGUACGGACAUUGUUACAAAUUUUGGUACAGGAAUAGAAUUUGUGAAAUUUCCAUCGGCAUGCACGCAACGCGAGGCACGAUUUUUCAGUUCGUUCGCGUUCGAUCUGACGAAAAGCAAUGUAUCGAGCGAAUACGACAACCAGCGACGAUUAGAAUUUUAAAAAUAGUUCGUUUUCGUGGCGAAACCGAGGUCAAACUUGCGUUUUUCAAACGGGGUCCGAUGUUUUUUUGUUUUUUUUUUUUUUUCGUUUCGUUCGUUACAUCCGUCGAGACAUCCUAAUAAAUUACGAGAAAGUCGAGACGUUCUCUAAUAAAUUACGAGAAAGCAUGCAAUUUUGUAUCUUCACUGGCAAAGUGCUAUUUCCGCGGUAAUGGGAAUUGAAAUUACUGAAUUUUCUCUCGCAUUCUAAUUUUGAACACCGUAAACAACGUCAAGCCUCGAAUUACAGAACGUAAACAUAGGCCGUUAGAAGCGAUUAUUAGUGAAUUUGUACGACGUAGCAAAGUAGGUGAACAUUAAAUUUCCAUUAUUGUAAAGAUAGCACCGUGUUGACAAAAAGUAUGAAAUUAUACGCUUCCCGAGCUCGUUCCAACGUCCCCUGUGCAACGUAAUGGGACAAGAAGAUAUCUGAUCUUGCUUACGAAGAACGCAAAGUGACCUUGGCUCCAUUACGAAAACGAACCACUUUUAAAAUUCUAAUUGCCGUUAUUCUGUUGUACGCACUGAUACUGACAAAUUUUUGUUCCAACGGCCGCGAAAGAUUGGCAAACCAGUGCGUCGUGUCACGUGUUCGAAACAAAUCUAAA